CCACUUAGUCACAAACACUGGCCAAAGUUAGCGUUCAUAUUUGUUUUUGUGUGAAAAAAGCAAAAAAACUAAUAUUUGGCCAGUGUUUGUGACUAAGUGGCUACUAAAAAUGACUGGACAUACCCCAUUUGCAAUAUCUUGGGUUGUCUACUUUUGCAAAUGGUAUGCCAUCAUGGGGGUAAUUCUUAUUCCUGGGCUACCAUACGCUCUCAAAGGCAACAUAACCAAUCUGGCAAAUUUCAAUGUCAAAAAAAUGAAAUGCAAGCCUUAUAUGUUACUCUCUAACUUUCCAAAACACAAUAAAACCCGUACAUGGGGGUACUGUUCUUCACGGGAGACUUCACUAAACACAAAUAUUAGUGUUUUAAAUCAGUAAAACAUAUUACAACAAUAAUAUAGUCCAUAAAAGUGCCAUUCAUUUGUAAAAAAUGCAAAAAAUGUCACUUUUACUUAAAAUAUCAUCGUUGUAAUACAAUUUACCAGUUUGAAACACUAAUACUUGAGUUCAGCAAAGUCUCCCGAGUAAAACAGUACCCCCCAUGUACAGGUUUUAUGGUGUCUUGGAGAGUUACAGGGUCAAAUAUAGCGCUUGCGAAUUAAAUUCUCUGCACUUUCUCGCUGUGUUGUCAGGCAUGUCAAUCAAAUUUUAAUUAAUCAAAUCACAUCAUUAUGGUAAAAGAUUACUUAAAUAUACACGUAGAAUUUUAAC